NNNNNNNNNNNNNNNNNNNNNNNNNNNNNNNNNNNNNNNNNNNNNNNNNNNNNNNNNNNNNNNNNNNNCUGGCUGCACGACACAUCUGGAUGCCGGCGCAUCCCGCACACCACUACGGACGAGGCUACCACGACUGCAGCCCGAAAGCAACGCCGGCGGCGGCAGGGCUCGGAGCGGCCCUGCCCGCGCUCCCCCUUCCCGAGCGGAUUUAGCCACCACCCGGCACACAUGCACGCUCCUGCUCCUCCAGGUGAAGGCAGCGGGAAUAUCCUCUGGGAGACGGAGGCGACGGGGCGACGGGCUCCUCCGCCCGCUCGCUCCAAGCAGCGUGGCCAGGCUGCGUCCAAGUCCGGGGGUUCGAGUCCCGCCGUGGCCACGUGCCAGCCGCGCCCGGUGGCAGGGGGGAACGGCGGGUGACAGCCGGGGGCCGGAGUCCCUUGUGCUUUUGUUCGGGCCUGGAGGAAGUCCUCCGCCGCAUCCGCCAUCCUCCCCGGGAGCAUCGUGCAGCCUGGGGACGAGGCGGCCGGUCACGCAGAGAGGAGCGGGGACAAGAGCAGGGCCGGCGACAGAUGCAGUUCGGGGGCCGGGUCAGGUUUCCCCAGGAGCUGAGCUUUCCGGCUGGGCGCGUGGGAAGGCCGGAGGCUGGCGAGCCCUGGAGCGAGGCAAGGGCAGAUGCAAGGGGCGCCGGAGAGCGGAGGGGAAGGGGCUCCGUCGCUGCAGCGGUCGCGCGGCGAAGGGGCCCCGGUGUCCCCAGGGGCUGGYGCCGACGCGGGGCAGGAACGAGGAAGAUGCUGGUCAGCCAGUCCGGGAGGCGAGGGCUUCCUCUCCCGGGGCCCAGAGCGCUGCUGGCUUAGGGUCCCUGCUCCGAGCAUCCCGCAGGGUCCUUCUCCGAGCAGGCAGGGAUCCAGGCAACGCCGCUAUUUACACUCGACGGGCCCCCCGCGCCCAUCCGGCUCCGUCCUCCGCCCGGCUGCGUCCGUCGCAAAAGCGCCUGCGGCGGGGGCCUCCCUCCCUCCCUCUCCCCCCCCCCAGGUGCCCCCCCAGCCCUGCCCGCGCCGGGCGCCUAGCGGCCCACGCUGAUGUUGCACGUCUUGCAGCUCGGGUCCUUUUUGGCGUUGGCGGUGGAGAGGCUCAUGAGCUGGUGGCCGCUGAUCUCGCCCAGCACGCCGAGGCUGAGGUCCACGGGCUCGGUGUAUAUGACCUCCAGGAUGCUGUCCUGGGCRUGGCGGUACACCAGCUCCCCGUCCUCCACGCAGCACGUCAGGAACUUGUUGCAGGAAAUGUCCAGCUGGGGCAGGCGCUCCCGGCAGAAGUGGUCUCCCGAGGAGCCCUUGGGCGCCAGGACCAGGACGACGUAGUGGUAGGCGGUGUACAUGCAGUAGAAGUCCGCGAAGUAGAGGUUGGUGUUGGGGUUGAAGAGGCGCUGGGCCGGGAUCUGGAAGCGGUAGCGGCCGUAGGGCGAGUCCUGCGGGGGCUGCCCGGUGUUGAACUCGGUGUUGCAGCUGAAGAAGAUGCCGUGCAGCAUGCCGCUGGUGGGCGAGC
rnacentral:lncRNA from 1 species